AACGAACGUUGGCGGCAGUCUUAACACAUGCAAGUCGAGCGCCCCGCAAAGGGAGCGGCAGACGGGUGAGUAACGCGUGGGAAUCUACCCAUCCCUACGGCAUAGUUCCGGGAAACUGGAAUUAAUACCGUAUACGCCCUACGGGGGAAAGAUUUAUCGGGGAGGGAUGAGCCCGCGUUGGAUUAGCUAGUUGGUGGGGCAAAGGCGUACCAAGGCGACGAUCCAUAGCAGGUCUGAGAGGAUGAUCAGCCACAUUGGGACUGAGACACGGCCAGAACUCCUACGGGAGGCAGCCGUGGGGAAUAGUGGACAAUGGGGGCAACCCUGAUCCAGCCAUGCCGCGUGAGUGAUCAAGGACUUAGGGUUGUAAAGGUCUUUCACCGGGGAAGACAACGACGGUACCCGGAGAAGAAGCCCCAUCUAACUACAUGCCAGCCGCCGCCGUAA
rnacentral:rRNA from 1 species